GAUGAACGCUGGCGGCGUGCCUAAUACAUGCAAGUCGAGCGAACAGACGAGGAGCUUGCUCCUUCGACGUUAGCGGCGGACGGGAGAGUCACACGUAGGUAACCUAACUAUCCGACUGGGAUAACUUCGGGAAACCGGAGCUAAUACCGGAUAAUAUUUCGAACCGCAUGGUUCGAUCGUGAAAUAAGGCUUUGCUAUCACUAAUAGAUGGACAUGGGCCGUAUUAGCUAGUUGGGAAGGUAACGGCUUACCAAGGCAACGAUACGUAGCCGACCUGAGAGGGUGGUCGGCCACAUUGGAUCUGAGACAGGGCAGAGACUCUUGCGGUAGGCAGCAGUCGGGAAUCCUCCGCGAGGGGCGAAAGCGUAACGGAGGAACGCCGCGUGAGUGAUGAAGGACUUCGGAUCGGAGAACGCUGUAAUUAUGGAAGAACAAACGUUUAUGUACCCGUGCUCGUCUUGACGGUACCUGGUCAGAAAGCCACGGCUAACUACGUG
rnacentral:rRNA from 1 species